GCAAGUCGAACGCCCAAUUUAUUGGAGUGGCGCACGGGUGCGUAACACGUGGGAAUGUACCCUAGGGUGCGGAAUAACGGCUGGAAACGGUCGCUAAUACCGCAUAAUGACUCCGGUCCAAAGAUUUAUCGCCCUAGGAUCAGCCCGCGCUUGAUUAGGUAGUUGGUGAGGUAAGAGCUCACCAAGCCUACGAUCAAUAGGGGGUCUGAGAGGAUGAUC
rnacentral:rRNA from 1 species